UUUUUUUCUUUUUCAUUUGAAGAAACUACAGGCAAGAAGACUCCAGUAAAGACAAGGCACAUAGUCAUGAAUAAAGGAAGACUUCAACAGUAACAGCAAAAUUAAAGUUAUGUGCCCUCAUGGUGGCUGCUUUCAGGCUGGUGUCCUCACUAAGAAAUCAGAUUUCUCUUGACUCUAAAGCUCCUGGGGACUCGCAUGAACACUUGGCUGUUUUGACUGCAGCAAUCACAAAUGGACAGAACUGGUGCAAAUAUUGUAGCUUUGGAUGCUGAAUGUGGAAACUGAUGGAAACAAGGCUUUGCCAAGUGGUGAAACAUCCUCCCAGGCCAAUACCAGUCUCCUGUGACUGUGUUGUACCUCAGGUACAGGUAGGAUUUCUUCCUCUUUCCAGCUCUAAAGAAUCUUCAGGCUCGGAUACCACUGCUUGGAAAGUUGAUAACACCUGAAUCAAGUGCAAGUAGCACCUCCUGAAUCCUUGAACUGAUAGAAUAAUGAGAUAUGCCCACAGUUAAUAGCCUCACUAUGUACUCUUGCUACACACGGGCUUUCUGGGCUGGAGAAGCUUGGUUUCCAGAAGGAAGAGCUGGUGCUGAGAGAUGAGUUCCAGAGAGAAAAGGACUCCCAAAGAGAACAUGAAGAUCCUGACUGAAGGAUGUAUCUGGGAAGUGAGGCAGAUGCGUGGAGACCAAGGAGAUGCCCAGCACCAAAUAAUUGUGCCUGGGACCAGAAACUGCAAGCAGCAUCAUAGCAGAAUCCAGCAGGAAUUUCUGCCCAACCUGCUCUAGCCAACGUACCUGCCUGCAGGGAAGCCAAGACCUUGGGAACGUCAUGGGGAAGUUGUAACAGCCAUGGAGAAUAAGCACAGAAAAAAACCAAACCCUGCUGAAGUUUUUGCAGAGGUGGUAUUCUUUGUUUUCCCAAGGAUUCUGGGUGAAACUUAAAGCGAGCUAUGAGAUGGAGAAGGAAGCAGGGAGGGGGAAGUGCUGCUGUUAAUUUGGCAUUCAUUUUAAGGAGCUGAACGGCAGCCAGAAGCAGUGCAGAUGGCAUCUCAAUUCCCUCUUCUUUUGAAGAAAAUGUAUUUUUAAUACAGUUACUUUUUGUUUCCAUUAAGACAUUUUUAGCUGUGGAAUAAGGACAGUUAAAGGCAGCAGUUAAACCCCCAGCUUUUAGAUGACAUUUCUGAAAGCAGUUUAUUUCCCAGAGCGAUAGAUGUAUGAAACAUAUGGUUUCUUCAGAGCCACAACCAAGGAGCUGGGUGGUACGGAUGCAGGGGCUAGUUGGCAGACGCCCCAGGAAGGAAGCGAAAGGACACAAAACUGGUGAUAUUGUUGCUUUUGCAUAUGGGUGUGGUGGUGACAGGAGAAUUUGUCUGUAUUAAAUUGUGUCUUCUACCCUUCUGGCAAAUCAGAACUCUAAGCUUUUCUAGAUCAACUGCGUUCCAGACACCUGCUCUGUUUUCUGACACUUGAUCAGAUGCCUGACUGCUGUUAGGACUGCAAAUCUGCACCAGGUGAAAGCAUACCAUGCUUUAGGAGUGGUAUUUUAUAAAUAAUUGAUUCUUUCAGUGAGGGAUUUUUCUGAGAGUAAUUCUUUCAUGAACCUAUUUGUGAAACAUUCUCUUAGGUAAACUUCAAGUUCAAAGAUAAAAUUUGAACUAAAAUACACAUACCAAACAGGCUGCUGUGUGCAUUUGCCUGUCAAUAAGAUAGAGCUCCUAUUUUGGCAAUUUAUUGCAUCUCUGAUGUGAACUUCAGACUUACUAAAAUAUUGAAAACAUUCCGAUAGGGCGUGAUCAGCACUGCCAUGGUACAGCUCAUGAUUGAUAGCAGUAUGAAUCAGGAAGUGCCACUUAAAAGACUUUAUAAGAGAAGCUAUCUCUUAUUAUUAUUUGUGUAUCUCCACAAGUAAAAAAUUUAAAGCUUGAUUUUUACAGAAAACCAUUCAACUGAUAUUAGAGCCAUUGCUUCUACUUCCUUUUGAGAGACAAAAUUCUGAGAUUUUACCAUUAAAUAAGUGAAAGAGAGACUAAAAGGACGUGACAGCUGGAAAGAUUAGUUAUUCAAACAUUUUAUUCCCAGAACUAUUAAAUAAAUAAUUAGAUAAAUAAAUGAAAGUAUCUGAUAAUGCAGAAGGUUUAUUACUCUAAACAUCUUUCCAGAACUGUCUAUGACCUCUUAACUUACAAACUCAUUACUGGUGAUGCUGCCUGCAGUGGGUGCCACCUGGGGUGCCGGCCCGUCCCCUGCCUGUGCCCGGUGAGAGCUGCAGGUGCCAUUGGGGCAGGACGGGGCUGCCCCUGCACGGCUGCUGCGAGGGAUGAGGUGAGGAGGGCCUGAGGAGCUGCCGCUCUGCUGCCUGUGGGUGCCGGGGAAGCUCCUGCUGUGCUGGGAUGGUUGUAAACCUGUGUCCUGUGUCAGAUGGAGGAGCAGAAGCGAGCAGCAGAGGCUGCUACUUGGUGGCAGCAGGGAGGGGGCCAGAGGCUGGCACGUUUCCCUGUGUGCUGCUGCAGCAGGUCUGGCGGGGCUGGAGCAGCACUGGUUUGGGUGGUGGCUUUCUUAGGGCGCUUGAGUGGUGGGGCCCUAUGGGUGCUGCUGUCUCUGUGCCUUCUUCCUUUGGUGCUGCCAGCAGGCUCCUGUCUCACCCAGCAGCUGCUCCCUGCAUGGGCUGGGCACCUGGUCUGCUCCUCACGUGGCUCUCCUUCAGGUCUCCCUGCAGGGCAGAGGCAGCCACCUCUGUCUCCUCAGAGCAACUCUUUGCUGUCAGUGUUCAGGCAGUUAGGAUCAUCGCUCUGGAAGUGUGGGUGAGAGUAGAAGAAUGACUGAAAAUGCAGAGAAGAGUUAGUUGCUGUCUGGGGCUGAAAGAUGGUGAUAUACAGGAAGUAAGGCUGAAGGCAAAGAUGGGUAGUAAAAAGGUCUUUCGGUCAGAUUAAUCUCAGAGAUUAGGUUAAGUCAAAGAAGAUAUGUUGCAAAUAUAUUGAAAUAAAUAGGCUCAUCAUAUCCUGAUUUUUCUUUUCUGUCUGUUCAAACUGGGAUAUAACUCAAAUCUAUUUUAUCUAUAUUUCUGCUGUUCAGCAAUGCAACGUCUAAAAUACCCAGAAACAGGAAAAGAUAUAAAGAUCAGAACAUUGACUGACACAGACUUCUCUUCUGUUGCUAAAGCUUGUUGUCUUGAAACCUUCUUCCCACCCACCAGAAUCUUGUGAGAGUUGGUUUAUGUGUGGAGCAGCUGAGGUACCUUUCUGUGAGCAGCAAAUGCUUCUUCCUCUGCCAGAGACUCAGGAAUGGAACAAGAUCUUGUGCAGUCAUGGUGUAUUUUGGUGAAUCUUCACAGAUUAAUUCUGUGUAUGAAGAUUUUCAUGUUUUCAGUCUGAAGAACUCUCACAGGUCCUUUCCUUCCCAAUGCCUGGGGCUUAAACGUUUCUUCAUCAAUAACAACACAAUUUCCACCAUGAUUCCACCAAAUCAUCUUAAAUUGGUCACUUUCAAUUGAUAGCCAGAGUUUUUGUGGAAAGCUGAGGAGAUUCUGGCUUUGCUCUCCUCAGAAGAAAUGUGAGGGAAACAUUUGGUUUCCUCUUCAUCGGAAGAAGUUGGUGGAUCUUUUUCUUUCUUUAUCCAUGCUAGAGCAGCAUCCCAUGUGUUCCUUGUUCAUCCUGUCCUGGAGGAUGAGGAGAAGGAGAGUCUGAGGACUCAGGCAGCUUCUUCAGAUUCAGGUGGCUCAAUUUUAAUUUUUCUUAUCUCAGUUUGACCAAAGUUUUCAUGUAGAGGCAUUUCUGCGGUAAGCCAGACUUUACCCUGCCGUCAGCACGUGAAGUCUAAGAGAACGUCAGGGGAUUCCACUGGAAGAUUGUCUGACAUCACUGUAACACCCACGUGUCAUCACAAUGACAUCACUGUGUGGCACCCAGAGCCUGGCUGGCUGGCACAGCCAGAGCAGAUCUCACUGACCAGUACUUGU